UACUCAUAUUCAGAUGGAGGACACACUUCAGGUCCUUCACACGUGUGAACUGAGCAUAAAGAACCGACACAUGGUCCCUAAACGAUAUUUUAUUCUUAACUUUGUAAAUAAAUUAUAAUGAAUUUCACUGAUUGAGGAGUUUACUUGUUGAAGAUCUUCAGGUCACAUGACUCAAGACGUCCAAGGGAGGAGAUGAUCUGCAGCAUCCUGGUGAUCUUCAUCCUGACCUCCUGUGUCUGUGCAGGGUCAUUUGUAGUGAAUGUGACACAGAGCUGGUAUCAUGCAGAGGAGAACCACAACAUCUCACUGGAAUGGAUGUUCCCCACCAGCACGGACCACUCCACCAACUCCCUUUAUGUCUCCUGUGAGAUGUUAGCUGAUGAGAUACCCUUAGUCCUGUUUGUGCUACAUGAAGGUGUGGAGAUCCCAGAGUAUCAGGAUCAACGCUUUGCAGGACGAGUCCAGUGGGACAAAGACGUCCUCAGAGAAGGACGACUCAGACUUCACAUCUCCAGACUCCAGACUAAUGACUCUGGGCUGUACUGGUGUCAAGUGGACACAAGUUAUGGGAAGAACUAUAAGGAAUGUCACCUCAAUGUCACUGCAGUGAAGGAUCGACCUGAACCUGAGAGAACCAGUGACACCAGUCUGAGAGGAAGGAUCGGUCUCUACUUUGUACUGGGAAUACUGGGACUGACAGCAACUACUGGGUUUUUGUUUAUUAUCUUUUUGCAUUGCAAAAAAAAAGCGAGGAGUUCUGAAUUACAUCCACCUGAGAUACAUUUGGACCUAGUGGCAGAAUGACUGUUAGAUGUUGGAGGUUUGGUCUCCCUCUGACAUCCCCUGCUUCAUUUUGUUCAAUGCUUCACAGAAAACAAGUAUUUAGUCAGCCACCAAUGGUGCAAGUUCUCCCACUUAAAAAGAU